AUAAAUAUUGUUGGGAUAGGUGCCCGAAAGGGCUUAAUAGGGAAGUCCGGUUAGAUGCCGGCGCGGUCCCGCCACUGUAAUAGGGAGUGAAUCCAAGGUAUACCACUGAGACGUAAUUGUCUUGGGAAGGUUUGGAUAAGCGAUGAUCUAGAGCCAGGAGAACUGCCUGUCUGUCAAUCACCGU
rnacentral:ncRNA from 2 species